GGUGAACGCUGGCGGUGUGCCUAAUACAUGCAAGUCGAGCGGAAAGACAAGGAGCUUGCUCCUCUGCGGGUGGCGACGGACGGGUGGGUGACACGUAGAUCGCCUUCUUCUUUGUCUUGGAUGACUUCGUGAAACCGCUGCUGCUACUGGAUCAUAUGUUCUACGGCUUGAAUCAAGGGUUCUUCGCGCUUUUGCCGUCUCAUUUAGCUGGUUCCGCGUCGCAUUAGCUAGUUGGUAAGGUAACGGCUUACCAAGGCAACGAUGCGUAGCUGACCUGAGAGGAUGAUCGGCCACACUGGAACUGAGACACGGUCCAGACUCCUACGGGAGGCAGCAGUAGGGAAUCUUCCGCAAUGGGCGAAAGCCUGACGGAGCAACACCGCGUGAGUGAAGAAGGUCUUCGGAUCGUAAAACUCUGUUAUUAGGGAAGAACAAAUGUGUAAGAAACUAUGCACGUCUUGACGGUACCUAAUCAGAAAGCCACGGCUAACUACGUG
rnacentral:rRNA from 1 species